CCCACCCCCACCGAACCCAUGUUCUUCCCCGAUAAAUCCCCAUCCACCUCUCCUCGAUGCCCACGCCCCAGCGCCACCACCCCCAAUCCCCAGUGCCCACUCCAGGCAUCCCACAACCACCCCACCCCCGACCGACCGGCCUCCUCUCCUUCCCGGCCGGAGUCCCGUCCCACCACCACGCACUGAUGCCGCCCAUGUACAGGCGCUGCCACACGCCGGAUCCGGUGGGAUCCGUCGAUCCCCGCCUUCAACGCCCACAUCCAGGGCCGCCAUACGGCCGGAUCCGGCGAGCCCCGCCUCCACCACCCCGGGCUGGAUCCCACUUCACCAUCCUGCAACCGGUGCGCCGCGCCAACCCGGCGCCGGCCCAUGCUCGCGCCGCCCCGCUGCCUCCUGUCUCCCACAUCACCUCCCUUCUGCCGUCGAUCGACCCCGUCGCCAGCCUGGUCUCGCGCCACCCCUGUGAGGGUUAGCCGAUCCCCCACGCUCGGGUCUGCCCUCGUCCCCGAUCUGGAUUGAGCCGCCGCUGGGAAGUUCAGCGUCACGGCGGGACAUCGUGCGGUUUGGCGCCCUCCUCGUCAUCGGUCACGGCACCGCAGCCACCGGCCUCGAGCGUCCGCUCCUCCACCUUGAUCUUAUGCUUGCCGGUGUCGCCCCGGCCGAUCCAGACAGUUGGGUGGGAGUUGGGGUGUCUCGGGCGUCCAGCCGUGGGUUCCCCCCGAUGAGUUGGACGUCUGCUCCCCUCUCUCUCCACCUCCCAUCCCCGCGGGAGCAGUGAGGCGUGUCCCUGUGCAGUGCAGUGACCCCCAAGAAACUAAGGUUGGCCUUGCAGUUCGCUGGCAAGAAUCUGCCUCUCCCCCUCCGUAGAUGCAGUUUGGCCAGAAGGGCUUUGUGAGAACAGAAAAAAUUGUUGGAGCAACUUCCACUUCCUCUGAAGUCCACUUCGCCUGCAGGAGCAACUUGCGCUUCCUGUGCAGCGACCUAUGCAGUGGAGCCACCCCUUGUGGAGAACAAAGAAAAUGCCGGAGCCCAAAACUCAGAGCUCCACUAUGUUCUCUAAUGCAGACUAUUGUACUACGUGAAAAACAAACUCUGAAGAGAAAAAAUAAAAAGGAAAAUGCAGUGUGCUUUGUUCUCUAA